rnacentral:rRNA from 1 species
CCUACGGGGGGCAGCAGUAGGGAAUCUUCGGCAAUGGACGAAAGUCUGACCGAGCAACGCCGCGUGAGUGAAGAAGGUUUUCGGAUCGUAAAACUCUGUUGUUAGAGAAGAACAAGUGGGAGAGUAACUGUUCCCACCUUGACGGUAUCUAACCAGAAAGCCACGGCUAACUACGUGCCAGCAGCCGCGGUAAUACGUAGGUGGCAAGCGUUGUCCGGAUUUAUUGGGCGUAAAGCGAGCGCAGGCGGUUUCUUAAGUCUGAUGUGAAAGCCCUC